rnacentral:rRNA from 1 species
CCUACGGGUGGCAGCAGUGAGGAAUAUUGGUCAAUGGACGAGAGUCUGAACCAGCCAAGUAGCGUGAAGGAUGACUGCCCUAUGGGUUGUAAACUUCUUUUAUAUGGGAAUAAAAUGUUCCACGUGUGGGAUUUUGUAUGUACCAUAUGAAUAAGGAUCGGCUAACUCCGUGCCAGCAGCCGCGGUAAUACGGAGGAUCCGAGCGUUAUCCGGAUUUAUUGGGUUUAAAGGGAGCGUAGGUGGAUUGUUAAGUCAGUUGUGAAAGUUUGCGGCUCAACCGUAAAAUUGCAGUUGAAACUGGCAGUCUUGAGUACAGUAGAGGUGGGCGGAGUUCGUGGUGUAGCGGUGAAAUGCUUAGAUAUCACGAAGAACUCCGAUUGCGAAGGCAGUUCACUGGACUGCAACUGACACUGAGGCUCGAAAGUGUGGGUAUCAAACAGGAUUAGAUACCCUAGUAGUC